GCCGCGCAAUACAAAUUUGCCGAACAUUUGCUGGCAGUUUUUAAUGGCAAGUGUGAAUAUGAAUAUUCACACUUGAGUUGUUUCGUCAGUUGACAUAGAAAUUUAGGGGCCUUUUUAGGGUUAUUUACAGGGUAUAUUGUGUGGUGGGGUGGGGAACUGUCAAAAGUGACAAUCAAAUACAAGCCGUGUUUCGCGCAGCGUAAACACUUUGUCUGGUAAGUGGAAAAUUUAGAUAUUAACAACAGAUUGGGGAAUGGACUGCAUGGCUUGGAAUGUACUUAAAAGUAAGUACAUGAAAUGGAGGUACAAGCUCAUGCAAAACGGACAGUAAUUGGGGACAACAAUAAUCUACAGAAACUACAAUGAAC
rnacentral:lncRNA from 1 species